rnacentral:sRNA from 1 species
AAUGGUAAUGUCACACAAUCGAUCUGA